rnacentral:piRNA from 1 species
UGAGUUCACAUUGUGGAAGCCCAGGG